UACGGAGGGUGCGAGCGUUAUCCGGAUUCACUGGGUUUAAAGGGUGCGUAGGUGGGUUUGUAAGUCAGUGGUGAAAUCUCCAGGCUUAACCUGGAAACUGCCAUUGAUACUAUAGAUCUUGAAUUUUCUGGAGGUAAGCGGAAUAUGUCAUGUAGCGGUGAAAUGCUUAGAUAUGACAUAGAACACCAAUUGCGAAGGCAGCUUACUACAGGGACAUUGACACUGAGGCACGAAAGCGUGGGGAUCAAACAGG
rnacentral:rRNA from 1 species